CCCUAAUCAUUAGUUUCAGGUCAAUAUAGGGAUGCAAUCAUUUUGACAAAAAGACUUUGAGCAGGGGUUUGACAUUAUAGCCCUCAAAUCAUGGUAAAACCCUAAUCAUUUAUGUGUUUAGUUUUCGAACUAGGCUAGCAUAGAGAAAUCUAGGAUUAAGGGAAAUUCGAACAUCAAAACUUUAAAAUUGAAAAAUUAAAGAAUAACUAAAUAU
rnacentral:lncRNA from 1 species